GGCCUACGGGAGGCAGCAGUGAGGAAUAUUGGUCAAUGGGAGAGAUCCUGAACCAGCCAAGCCGCGUGAGGGAAGACGGCCCUAUGGGUUGUAAACCUCUUUUGUCGGGGAGCAAGACCCGCCUCGUGCAGGCGGAGCGAGAGUACCCGAAGAAAAAGCAUCGGCUAACUCCGUGCCAGCAGCCGCGGGAAUACGGAGGAUGCGAGCGUUAUCCGGAUUUAUUGGGUUUAAAGAGUGCGCAGGCGGACCAUCAAGUCAGCGGUAAAAUCGUGUGGCCCAACCCCAUCCCGCCGUUGAAACUGGCG
rnacentral:rRNA from 1 species